rnacentral:tRNA from 1 species
CCUAUCGCCCUGUCCUCCCGCAUCCAGAAGUACCUCGAGCACGUCAUGGAGACGGAGAG